rnacentral:rRNA from 1 species
CCUGCGGAGGGAUCAUUACCGAGUUUACAACUCCCAAACCCCUGUGAACAUACCAAUUGUUGCCUCGGCGGAUCAGCCCGCUCCCGGUAAAACGGGACGGCCCGCCAGAGGACCCCCUAAACUCUGUUUCUAUAUGUAACUUCUGAGUAAAACCAUAAAUAAAUCAAAACUUUCAACAACGGAUCUCUUGGUUCUGGCAUCGAUGAAGAACGCAGCAAAAUGCGAUAAGUAAUGUGAAUUGCAGAAUUCAGUGAAUCAUCGAAUCUUUGAACGCACAUUGCGCCCGCCAGUAUUCUGGCGGGCAUGCCUGUUCGAGCGUCAUUUCAACCCUCAAGCACAGCUUGGUGUUGGGACUCGCGUUAACCCGCGUUCCCCAAAUUGAUUGGCGGUCACGUCGAGCUUCCAUAGCGUAGUAGUAAAACCCUCGUUACUGGUAAUCGUCGCGGCCACGCCGUUAAACCCCAACUUCUGAAUGUUGACCUCGGAUCAGGUAGGAAUACCCGCUGAACUUAAGCAUAUCAAUAAG